CCCAGCAAAAGAACGGCACACAGCAGUUGCUGCCCAAGCCUGGGUGCUCCUGGUGGUCCUGCACGAUCGGCUGUGCAGUAGGCUUGUCAAGGAGAGGAUCCUCCCUGGCCUCUCCUUGGGCAGAGGAGGUGGUCCAUAAAGCUGCCCUGGAGCCAAAAUAUUGCAGUCACAUCUCGGCAGCGACCUGCCCUCAGGUGGCAUUUUCAAGUCAUGGAGAAGGCGGAGCAGAGAUGAGGUUUUACCACAUUGGCCAGGCUGAUCUCAAACUCCCGACCUCAAGCGAUUCUCCUGCCUCAGCCUCCCAAAGUGCUGGGAUUAUAGGCAUGAGCCACUGCACCUGGUAUAAGGAGCCUGUUAUAGCACUGUCUCUUCCCCUGUGAUUGGGGGCUCCAUGCCUCUAGCUGGGAUGAUGAUGUCCAGACCUGAGAGGAGCCCAGGGCUACCCACCUUUAAAAGUCAGAGGCAGGAAGCAAGAAACAGUCACAGGACUGCCCUGGGGGGUGCUGUGGUCACCAGCCCCCAGGCUGGAAGCUGCCUCUGGCCUGGCACCUCCCCUCCCAAGAGGCUGCUGCCCGCCUCCCAGCCCUUCUUGGAUGGGGUGGAGGUUUCCGUCUCCUUCACCUCACCAAGCUUCUCCUGUAGCUCCUUUACUUGCUGCUCCAACUGCAGUGCGCUCUUGUUCUCAUUGUUCUGGACAGCGAGAAGCAAUCGGCAGCCACCCACUGCAGCUGGAGACCCCAGAACUUGGUGUCUGCCUCCCAUGGCACUGGGAAGGCUGGAGGCAGGUUAGAAAAAUCACCCCCUCUCCCACAGCCACCUGGCUCACAGGUGCCUUUAGAAGUAACCUUUCACGUGAGGGCUACACUGCCCCAUUUUAGAGGUGGGGAAACAAAGGCCCGGAGGGCUAGGGAGGAGGGCAGGCUCCCCAGUUGGGGCAACGCACCGGCUCCUCAAAGACGCUCUGUGGCUUGGCCAGCUGCUGAAGCUUCUCAUGCUGCUCCUGAAGCCUCUCCUCCUGCUUCCGAAGCCUCUCUUCCUGCUCCCGAAUCCUCUCUUCUUGUCGCCGGUUCAGGAGACUUAUGUGCUGAUUGUUUUUGACCUGGGCCUGGAGCUCUCCUGCCACUCUCUCUAGUUCCUUCCUCAGGUGCUGCAGCUCCACCUCAGAGGGCACUGCUGGGGGCUCCGGGGGCAAGGGUUCAGCUGAGAAAGGAAGCAGAUAAUAAGGGCCUCUGGAUUCUCGAAAAAGAAAAACCCCCCUCUUGGCGCACAGCUCCUCUCAGGCUCCUCAAACUUGGCCUCACUGCUAAUGAUUCCUCGCACCCAGAUGGUAGCCAGUCUUCCAAAGCACUUUCAGAGAAAGAGCACUGCGGUUGGCUGACAACGGGCCCUCUUUGCUGAUGGGGACACUGACACACUGAGACUCAUUGAGAUGACAAGACUCACCGUCUCCUGGCACAGAUCUCUUUCCCUCUGCCUCAAAGCCCUUCCAUCCACCCACCUCCCUGGGGCAUUCUAAGCCACCCUCACAGCCCUCUGAUGCCAGUCCUGCUCCCAGGUCAUGCCAGCCCCAUCUUACCCAUCUGGUUUUUAAGUUCGGACAAGCUCCUCUCCAGCUCCUCUACCCGAUGAGUAUAAUGCUCCUUCUCUGUCUUCAGUGUGUAAACCUGCCCAAAGCACAGGGGGAAAGGGCCCUGGAGAGAGGGGCUGGUGGCUGGACAGGCUGCCCUCUCCCUCUCUGCCCCCACCUCCACAAAGCCCAGACCCAUGACCACCUCUGGCUCUACUAUUCCCAUUUUACAGAUGCCCAGAAAGAUCCAGGGACCUAUCUAAUGUGGGGGGGCUGAAGGGUCAGAUCUCACCUCCUGCGACAUUUUUCUCAUCCUCUGCUGCCACAGGGCCCUCUCUCCUUUUAUACGAUCAGCAUACUCAUCUUUUUCUAAUUGGACUUGUUCAAAUGACUUCUUCAACUGCAAGAAUGGGCACAGAAGUUAGGAAGGGCUGUCACUGGUCCUCACCUGCUCCUGGCCACCUGGGGUCAUCGUCCUUCCACAUCCCUCCCUCGGAAAACCUCACCUGUGUCAGCUGCACUUUCAGUAGUGCCUGCUCCCGCACGGACUGCUCUAACCACCACUCCGUACGUGCUUUGCUGCGGCUGGACAACUGGAUGGUGAAGAGUGAGAAGUUUCAAUCUGGAGAGCCUGGGCAUUUCCACACAGUGCCCCUUAAAGGGGCUAGGGCUAGGCCCAGUAUACAACUCGGUCAGUAAAGAUCAAGGCAUUUCCCA